rnacentral:rRNA from 1 species
UGGGGAAUUUUGAACAAUGGGGGAAACCCUGAUCCAGCCAUCCCGCGUGUGCGAUGAAGGCCUUCGGGUUGUAAAGCACUUUUGGCAGGAAAGAAACGUCAUGGGUUAAUACCCCGUGAAACUGACGGUACCUGCAGAAUAAGCACCGGCUAACUACGUGCCAGCAGCCGCGGUAAUACGUAGGGUGCAAGCGUUAAUCGGAAUUACUGGGCGUAAAGCGUGCGCAGGCGGUUCGGAAAGAAAGAUGUGAAAUCCCAGAGCUCAACUUUGGAACUGCAUUUUUAACUACCGGGCUAGAGUGUGUCAGAGGGAGGGGGAAUUCCGCGUGUAGCAGUGAAAUGCGUAGAUAUGCGGAGGAACACCGAUGGCGAAGGCAGCCUCCUGGGAUAACACUGACGCUCAUGCACGAAAGCGUGGGGAGCAAACAGG